UGUACUGAUCAAACCUCUCUCCACUUUUGAAAAAGCCGCAUUUUGAUCAUAAUCUGUUUUCUUUUUCAGAGGCACCUGGUAGAGAAAUUUCAUACUACUUCAUGGAAUCCCAUUUCUCGUGCCGUCUGCUUCAUUCACGCGUGGAUUUCUUGGUUGGUGUGGUUGAUCCAGAGCUGGUUGGUCGUUCGAUACGUGUUCCUUUUCCUUUGUGGAUAUCUUCAAAAAUUCAAAUUUUGUGUAUCACUGAAAUAGAAUCAGCAUCAUGGUUGUCCUUCCAGGAGGAAAAUGACUUGACGGUCAAUACAAGGGUAAAGAAAAUGACAACAAAUUCUAUUAUGGUGGUCAUCACAGAUUACAUGCAAGUUAUUUUUACAUAGCAUUUUGAGAAUUCAUCAUGUAGGGUGCAAUAGUUUUUAUUAUUUUUUUGUUAAUUGAGAUUUUCUUUUAGAUUUUGCAUUUAGACUGAAUGAGAGCCAUCCGUCUGUCCUUUAAAGGAAAAAGAAAAGGCCAACACCACCAACACAGUCAACAAAGUUCUUCGUUUGUUGAUUUGUUGGCUUUAACCACUUCAAUCCCCAUUCCUAUAUCCUUGGAAUGGGCCCACUCUUAUUUUGAGGUUAAUCCUGCGCCGCUAUUCCAUGGACGGAAUUCAUUCGUGGAAACUGACGAAAGAUCAGUGACGACUGCCUAACGUGCUGACAUUCAGCAAUAAAGCUCACAUGCGUGCCAUCCUUCCGUCGCUUCGAGGCAUGGUUGUGCCUGCUCCAGCGUAAUUCGACUACCCAACUGACGCGCGGCUUGUCAACUCACCCCUCGCUGACACCUACUACCCUUCCUGUCGUCUCUCAACAUAGCACGGGGUUCUAAAUUACAGAUUUCUACAUUUGUAUGACAGAUUUCAUGAAAAGUCAUGUCCUUUGAAGAAAAAUGACAAUGACUCUGAAGUAUACAGUCAAAAAGGUCCCUUGUUUGGUAAUUUGUUGGCUGCUAACUUAGAAUCUCACCUGUUAUUUCCUUAAACGGGCCCUCAUUUGAGGCUAACUCCUUCGCUACUUAUCGUGGACUUCAUCCAUUGCCGAAAACCGACGAGAGCAUGCUGUCAUUCAAGACUUAUAUAUUGUGUAGUUAGUUAAACUACAAGUGCAUUUCUGGGCUCCCUUCUUUUCUGCGGCCCCGUUUCCCUAACUAACCACUAACCAACGCCCGCCGGUGGUCACUCACC
rnacentral:lncRNA from 1 species